ensembl:lncRNA
CUUUUCUCCAUGUAAGUACAACAUGUCUCCCAUGACUUUAUUUACAGUCAAAAACUCUUAAGCAUGUGCAUUAGAGCCGGGUAUUUAUCACUCCAGCCGGUUGGGUUUGAGAGGUGCUGUAACUCUUCAUCUCGGUGCUCUGUAAUAAGAGUGCACAAAAAUGUACCGUGAGAGGAGUUUCUAUGAAAUCGCCUCAACUCUGGAUGGCUGCUGACAGCUUGCGUGGAAGGGAAGUGCAGAGUAAUGGCAUUGGUAAUGGGGAAAAUAGGUCACCUGGGAUAUGAGGUGUUUGCAGGUGGAGUAAAUGGAGUAAAUGGAGGGAUUGCUUUGGUUAAGGGGUAAUGUGAAUCACCAAUAAUGUGUGUCUAAAUAUGGACGGCCGUGCUGUCACUCAGGUUCAAACAAACACGACUGAUCGGUCUUACACAGCAACUGACCGAUUGAGGCUUUAAACUUCCCGCUUAUGUCCUAAUGGGAGCUCGCUUUACAUUUAAAUCUCAUGUAGGAAAUGAGAUGAAUCCAGCUACCUGGUUGCUUGUAAAAGACGAUAUUUAUCGAGAGGGCCAGACGUUUAUUGCCGGCCCUUUGUGCAUGUUGUGGUUAAUUACUGUUUCCACAGGAAAUCCCUGCGUCCAGCUACGACCCUCGACUGAAACACACUGACACCAGCAGGACACCCCCACACAUAGAGACACACACUAUUGAAUGCAGCUGCAUCUCCCAGAGGGGAAAGGUUAAUUUGUCCAGUUCAGAAAUAAGGGUCUCUCCGUUUCUCUCAGCAGGAUGAUGAAAAACAUGAAACCGUGCUGCUAAUGAAAAGAACACUCAGGAUGUGUAUUAUUAUUCCAUCAGUCUCACCUAGUGAGCCCUGGCCCGGGUCCAUGUUGCAGAAAGGGGCCAUGUCUUUUCCACCCUCUCCUUUCAGAGCGAUCUCGUGGUAGGCUGCCACUCGCAGAUUUCCUCUUCAUUCAUUUCCCAGGAAUUUGGCUGCCAUUUCCUGAGCAGAGGAGAAGGUUUGACUGGCUUCGUGCAGGGCCAAGCUGGCCAAGUCACUGGCCGGAGAGGCAGCCUGAAACGGUGUAAAGCGUGGUUUGAACACAUUCGCCCUACGCGUCCGCGGGGGGGGGGGGACUGAUGGAUUUAUCUCCGGGGUAAUAUGAUUUUAGCAUUCGACUGAUGUGGUUAAGACGGCCUGAAUGGUCUCUGAGAGAGCAGAGUCAAAAAGUGGCCACUGAAGGACUCGUGCUGACAACAGGCUUUCUGUGUGGAGCGUUUAGACGGGUUGAGACCAGCAGCGCCAGCACCAAACGUUGGCAAAGGACAAUGCCGACUGAAAACGGAGGAUUUAAUCCUGUCCACGCGCUUCAGGACGUCUAAUGAGGUUGUCGUUCGGUCCGGACGUGCAGCUCUCUCGACAGCCAAAUGGUAACCUCGACGGCAUCCACCCCUGCAGCGAUGCCAUCCAUGUCCUCAUUUCCCUUCCGCUAGCACCGUCAGCGUGACAAUUUGCGAUACUACAAAUCAAUGUAAUGUAAUCUGAUACUUAAUCUAAUUGAAUUGUGACAAAAACAGACAUGUCAUUGCCUCCUAACCACAUUACGUUCAUCACAGUGGGAAUCACAAAUUCUUUCCUAAUAUCCUCUGUCAUUUAAUCUCUUGCAUUUGCACAACAGGAAUCUAAGUGGGAAUCAUUGCCCCUCUAAAUCUAUUUGUCGCACCUUUCAAACUCACAGCUCUCCUCACUGUGGGUCACCUGUAAUUUGUAAUGGUAAAUAAAGGGCAAUUCAUUUCCUGCAGGGCUGAGCAGUAACCCAGACUAAUACUGAAUCAGCCACCGAUUCAAAUCCAUUACACACAAGGCGCCGGGCUGCUUCCGUUCAUAUACCUGUAUUCAGCCAUGAAUACAACAGCAGUGGGAACAGCUGUGAUAGUAUAGACACAAGAGUUCACGGCCAUCGGAUAAAGUCAGUAAAGAUCAGGGAUUGAAUGGGUGCAAGAUGACAUCCG